AUGUAUUGUAACAUGCUGAAGCAAUCAUGGCCAGUGCUGUGGCAGGGGAAGCUGCAUCCUCCCCAUGGCCAGCCUGCCUGUGCCCGCCUGAGAACAGCAGGACGAGGUGAUGUUCCCAGAGCUGCCUGCAUGCAGGAGAGGAACACUGGGCAGGCACACUCAGUAACACUUUUCUCUGGAAGCUAUGGCUCUGAGGCUGGUCAGCCCUCUGACAUUGUCCUUGCAGUGGAAACAAAAUCUGCAUUAAAAGGGGCUUCAAUUCAACUCUUUUACUCUUUUUCACAUUUGCAAGAGAAGACAAAACCUGAAGAAGCUCCGCUGUUUGGCUCAUAGCUGAUGCCCUCCUUUCUCACUGCAAAGGGCAACUGUUGUAAGAAGUCUGAGCAAAAACUGUUCCCUCCACACUGUCAUUUAAAAUAACAAGGAACAAAUGAAUGUUGUAGACACCACUUCUGUCCUUUAUGCCUGAUAUUUGUCAAGCUGAUGUGGAGUUCAAAUAUGGCCAGCAAUGAGCACAAACAGAGGCUGCAUCCUCUGGACCUCCAUCAUUGAAAACUGAGUGCAGGUCUAUCAAUGCUUUACCAGAGACUUUCAUUUUGUUCUCAGAGGGAAUUUUUAUUACCUUCCUGAUAGAAAUAUUGAGCUGAUUGGAGAAAUAUUUUUAGUUCCAAUCCUAAUUGUCUGUGAGAAAUUAAAGACCAAAAAUGAAAAGGUGGCUUUUGAAAACCAGCCUGACUUGCACUGCUAUCUUGUGUAGUGAGUGAUUAAAAAAACAUCAACCAACAACAGAAAAAAACCCAAACCCGAAAACCCAGAACCAGAAAGCAAAAGGAAGGUAACAGUAGCAGGAGAGAGUGUUGGAGAUUCUGUGAGCACCGUUCCCAGCUGCCUAUCAUGAGUCUGAGAAGGCUCAGGUAACUCUCAGGAAUGAAACCCUGCAGGUCUGUGGUGUUGACAUACCCAUCUGCUAUGGACCAGAAGAUGAUUCUGACACAGCUCAUCACAUUUCUAUUUCUGACUACGUCCGUUGUUGGAUUUAAUGAAUAAGUGAUGUUUUGAACUGAUAAAAACCCUGCUGCAAACUUCCCAUUUUAUGUCAUGAUCUACAAGCCAAGAGAUUCAGACAAGCUGUAAAAGGCCUUUAACAUAUGAUUUCAGACUUAAUUCAAAUUGGGAGGUGCUUCUCAAAGCUAACUUGAAAGUUUCUCUCACCUCCACCCCCAAAGUGGACAUAAGAUUUCCACAGACUAAGCAGUGUUAUCUCUAAAACAAGACAGCAACUGCUAUCAACACUGUUGGUAGUUCAUUAUCACUGGGAAAUAUAACAUAUUAU
rnacentral:lncRNA from 1 species